rnacentral:rRNA from 1 species
GACGAACGCUGGCGGCGUGCUUAACACAUGCAAGUCGAACGGAAAGGCCCUGCUUUUGUGGGGUGCUCGAGUGGCGAACGGGUGAGUAACACGUGAGUAACCUGCCCUUGACUUUGGGAUAACUUCAGGAAACUGGGGCUAAUACCGGAUAGGAGCUCCUGCUGCAUGGUGGGGGUUGGAAAGUUUCGGCGGUUGGGGAUGGACUCGCGGCUUAUCAGCUUGUUGGUGGGGUAGUGGCUUACCAAGGCUUUGACGGGUAGCCGGCCUGAGAGGGUGACCGGCCACAUUGGGACUGAGAUACGGCCCAGACUCCUACGGGAGGCAGCAGUGGGGAAUAUUGCACAAUGGGCGGAAGCCUGAUGCAGCAACGCCGCGUGCGGGAUGACGGCCUUCGGGUUGUAAACCGCUUUCGCCUGUGACGAAGCGUGAGUGACGGUAAUGGGUAAAGAAGCACCGGCUAACUACGUGCCAGCAGCCGCGGUGAUACGUAGGGUGCGAGCGUUGUCCGGAUUUAUUGGGCGUAAAGGGCUCGUAGGUGGUUGAUCGCGUCGGAAGUGUAAUCUUGGGGCUUAACCCUGAGCGUGCUUUCGAUACGGGUUGACUUGAGGAAGGUAGGGGAGAAUGGAAUUCCUGGUGGAGCGGUGGAAUGCGCAGAUAUCAGGAGGAACACCAGUGGCGAAGGCGGUUCUCUGGGCCUUUCCUGACGCUGAGGAGCGAAAGCGUGGGGAGCGAACAGGCUUAGAUACCCUGGUUGUCCACGCUGUAAACGGUGGGUACUAGGUGUGGGGUCCAUUCCACGGGUUCCGUGCCGUAGCUAACGCUUUAAGUACCCCGCCUGGGGAGUACGGCCGCAAGGCUAAAACUCAAAGGAAUUGACGGGGCCCCGCACAAGCGGCGGAGCAUGCGGAUUAAUUCGAUGCAACGCGUAGAACCUUACCUGGGUUUGACAUGGAUCGGGAGUGCUCAGAGAUGGGUGUGCCUCUUUUGGGGUCGGUUCACAGGUGGUGCAUGGCUGUCGUCAGCUCGUGUCGUGAGAUGUUGGGUUAAGUCCCGCAACGAGCGCAACCCUUGUUCACUGUUGCCAGCACGUUAUGGUGGGGACUCAGUGGAGACCGCCGGGGUCAACUCGGAGGAAGGUGGGGAUGACGUCAAGUCAUCAUGCCCCUUAUGUCCAGGGCUUCACGCAUGCUACAAUGGCUGGUACAGAGAGUGGCGAGCCUGUGAGGGUGAGCGAAUCUCGGAAAGCCGGUCUCAGUUCGGAUUGGGGUCUGCAACUCGACCUCAUGAAGUCGGAGUCGCUAGUAAUCGCAGAUCAGCAACGCUGCGGUGAAUACGUUCCCGGG